AUUGAACGCUGGCGGCAUGCUUUACACAUGCAAGUCGAACGGCAGCGCGGGGCAACCUGGCGGCGAGUGGCGAACGGGUGAGUAAUACAUCGGAACGUACCCAGAAGUGGGGGAUAACGUAGCGAAAGUUACGCUAAUACCGCAUACGUUCUACGGAAGAAAGUGGGGGAUCGCAAGACCUCAUGCUUUUGGAGCGGCCGAUGUCUGAUUAGCUAGUUGGUGAGGUAAAGGCUCACCAAGGCGACGAUCAGUAGCUGGUCUGAGAGGACGACCAGCCACACUGGGACUGAGACACGGCCCAGACUCCUACGGGAGGUAGCAGUGGGGAAUUUUGGACAAUGGGCGCAAGCCUGAUCCAGCAAUGCCGCGUGAGUGAAGAAGGCCUUCGGGUUGUAAAGCUCUUAUGUCAGGGAAGAAACGGCUGGGGCUAAUAUCCCCGGCUAAUGACGGUACCUGAAGAAUAAGCACCGGCUAACUACGUGCCAGCAGCCGCCGUAAUAC
rnacentral:rRNA from 1 species